GAUGGUGGAUUCCGGUACACAAUUCACGUUCCUGAUGGGUCCGGUUUACUCCGCCUUGAAAACCGAGUUUAUGGCGCAAACCAAGGCGGUUCUCAAAGUUGUAGAAGAUCCAAAUUUUGUGUUCCAAGGGACAAUGGACCUCUGUUACCGGGUUCUAAAACUAUUGUUUAGACGUUAAAGUUUUUCACCUAAAAUUCAAAGUUUUUUUCUUUUUGGCUCGGAAUGAUUAGACUAAACCGAAACGAACCGGGAAAGCGUAGUCAAGAGAGAAUAAAACACACAAUAUUGUAUUUAAAGAUGGCAAAGCACGUAACAAACUUAGUAAAGACAUGAUGGCUUCAUCAUCAUCAUCAUCAUCUCUUUCAAAUUUAUCGCUUCAAAUUUCAAUUUUGCUUCUUAUUUUUCCUCUCACGUUCUGCAAGAUAUCUUCUCCAAAUCAAGAACCACUAGUCUUCUCUCUCAAAACCAAGAAUGUUCCACAGUCUUCUUCAGACAAGCUUUCUUUCAGACAUAACGUCACUCUCACCGUUUCUCUCUCCGUGGGCUCUCCACCGCAAAACAUCUCGAUGGUUCUUGACACAGGAAGCGAGCUUUCAUGGCUUCACUGCAAGAAAGCUCCCAACUUAGGAUCCGUGUUUAACCCGGUUUCGUCCUCUUCUUACUCGCCUAUACCUUGCUCCUCGCCUAUUUGCAGGACCCGGACCCGGGACUUGCCCAUACCCGCUUCAUGCGACUCGAAGACCCAUCUUUGCCACGUGGCAGUCUCCUACGCCGACGCUACCUCACUAGAAGGCAGCUUAGCUCACGAGACAUUCGUAAUCGGAUCCUCAGCCCGACCCGGAACUAUAUUCGGGUGCAUGGACUCGGGUUUAAGCUCUGAUUCGGAGGAGGACGCUAAAACAACCGGUUUAAUGGGAAUGAACCGGGGCUCUUUAUCGUUUGUUAACCAGCUGGGUUUCUCAAAAUUCUCUUAUUGCAUAUCCGGUUCAGACUCCUCCGGUAUUCUGCUUCUUGGUGACGCGAGUUCCUCGUGGCCCGGUCCUAUCCAGUACACGCCUUUGGUUAGUGAAACGACGCCGUUACCGUAUUUCGACCGGGUCGCUUACACGGUCCAGUUAGAAGGAAUUCGGGUCGGGUCAAAGUUGCUGUCUCUACCUAAAUCUAUGUUCGUACCGGACCAUACCGGGGCAGGUCAGACGAUGGUGGAUUCCGGUACACAAUUCACGUUCCUGAUGGGUCCGGUUUACUCCGCCUUGAAAACCGAGUUUAUGGCGCAAACCAAGGCGGUUCUCAAAGUUGUAGAAGAUCCAAAUUUUGUGUUCCAAGGGACAAUGGACCUCUGUUACCGGGUUGGGCCGUUGACCCGGCCCAAUUUCUCGAGGUUGCCCGUUGUUAGUUUAAUGUUUCGUGGGGCGGAGAUGAGCGUGUCGGGUCAGAAGCUGUUGUACCGAGUAAACGGAGCUGGGUUGGGAGGAAAAGAU
rnacentral:lncRNA from 1 species